CUACGGGUCGCUCCAGUUAGGAAUAUUCUACAAUGCGCGCAAGCGUGAUAGAUUGAGUCAGAGUGCGCUUCAAUUUGGAGUGCUUUUGUGAAAUCUAAAAAGUUUCACGAAUAAGGACUGGGUAAGACGAGUGCCAGCCGCCGCGGUAAUACUCGCGGUCCAAGUCGCAGCCAUUUUUAUUGGGUCUAAAACAUCCGUAGCUUGCUUCUUAAGUUCCUUGUGAAAUUUUGUAUCUCAAAUACAGAGCGUGCAAGGAGUACUGGGAAGCUAGAGACUGGGAGACGUAAGAAGUACGUUCAAAGUAGCGGUUAAAUGUGUUAAUCUUGAACGGACUAACAACAGCGAAGGCAUCUUACGAGAACAGUUCUGACAGUCAGGGAUGAAGGCUAGGGGCGCAAAACGGAUUAGAUACCCUAGUAGUC
rnacentral:rRNA from 1 species